UACGUAGGGCGCAAGCGUUAUCCGGAAUUAUUGGGCGUAAAGAGCUCGUAGGCGGUUUGUCGCGUCUGCCGUGAAAGUCCGGGGCUCAACUCCGGAUCUGCGGUGGGUACGGGCAGACUAGAGUGAUGUAGGGGAGACUGGAAUUCCUGGUGUAGCGGUGAAAUGCGCAGAUAUCAGGAGGAACACCGAUGGCGAAGGCAGGUCUCUGGGCAUUAACUGACGCUGAGGAGCGAAAGCUAGGGGAGCAAACAGG
rnacentral:rRNA from 1 species